rnacentral:ncRNA from 1 species
UCAGUUUCUUUACGAUUAGGAAGGGAAGAAAACCCAGAUAUGAAGCGAAAACGAAGGACUAAACAUAUAGCAGGAGUGACCUAGAAAAGGCUAGAGUUAAACUGUUGGGACCCGAAAGAUGGUUAACUAUGCUUGUGGUGUUUGAAGCAGAAGGAAACUUUGGUGGAAGGACUUAAGAGUGUUAACGUGCAAAUUACUUGCAAUAUAUGAGUAUAGGGGCGAAAGACUAAUCGAACUAUCUAGUAGCUGGUUACACCUCAAUAUUCCCUUAAAAAGGUUGAAGUGAGGAAGUAGUGACGAUUGGUAAAAAUAAUGAUUGGAUGUAAUGGAGAGUUUGAUUUUUCAACAUUUUAACAAACUAUGAAUAGUCGAGAUAUCCUAAACGAUAAACAUUUAUUAGGAGUGAGCAUAUGCGGACUUCAAAUCGGCUAAGUCUGGUAUGCAAAACUGGCGAUGCGGGAUGAACCGAACAUACAGAUAAAUUAUUUAAGGCUUGCAUGAGGAGAACCAUUGAAAAUAUUUAUUCAUAUUGACAGGAAAUUUGCCAUUGAAAUUGGAAAUCGCUAAGGAGUGUGUAACAACUCACCUAUCG